GAUGAACGCUAGCUACAGGCUUAACACAUGCAAGUCGAGGGGCAGCAUUAAAGUUUGCUUGCAAACUUUAGAUGGCGACCGGCGCACGGGUGAGUAACACGUAUCCAACCUGCCGAUAACUCGGGGAUAGCCUUUCGAAAGAAAGAUUAAUACCCGAUGGUAUAUUUUCACCGCAUGGUGAAACUAUUAAAGAAUUUCGGUUAUCGAUGGGGAUGCGUUCCAUUAGGCAGUUGGUGAGGUAACGGCUCACCAAGCCUUCGAUGGAUAGGGGUUCUGAGAGGAAGGUCCCCCACAUUGGAACUGAGACACGGUCCAAACUCCUACGGGAGGCAGCAGUGAGGAAUAUUGGUCAAUGGACGAGAGUCUGAACCAGCCAAGUAGCGUGAAGGAUGACUGCCCUAUGGGUUGUAAACUUCUUUUAUACGGGAAUAAAGUGAGGCACGUGUGCCUUUUUGUAUGUACCGUAUGAAUAAGGAUCGGCUAACUCCGUGCCAGCAGCCGCGGUAAUACGGAGGAUCCGAGCGUUAUCCGGAUUUAUUGGGUUUAAAGGGAGCGUAGGCGGACGCUUAAGUCAGUUGUGAAAGUUUGCGGCUCAACCGUAAAAUUGCAGUUGAUACUGGGUGUCUUGAGUACAGUAGAGGCAGGCGGAAUUCGUGGUGUAGCGGUGAAAUGCUUAGAUAUCACGAAGAACUCCGAUUGCGAAGGCGGCUUGCUGGACUGUAACUGACGCUGAUGCUCGAAAGUGUGGGUAUCAAACAGGAUUAGAUACCCUGGUAGUCCACACAGUAAACGAUGAAUACUCGCUGUUUGCGAUAUACAGUAAGCGGCCAAGCGAAAGCGUUAAGUAUUCCACCUGGGGAGUACGCCGGCAACGGUGAAACUCAAAGGAAUUGACGGGGGCCCGCACAAGCGGAGGAACAUGUGGUUUAAUUCGAUGAUACGCGAGGAACCUUACCCGGGCUUGAAUUGCAACUGAAUGAUGUGGAGACAUGUCAGCCGCAAGGCAGUUGUGAAGGUGCUGCAUGGUUGUCGUCAGCUCGUGCCGUGAGGUGUCGGCUUAAGUGCCAUAACGAGCGCAACCCUUAUCGAUAGUUACCAUCAGGUUAUGCUGGGGACUCUGUCGAGACUGCCGUCGUAAGAUGUGAGGAAGGUGGGGAUGACGUCAAAUCAGCACGGCCCUUACGUCCGGGGCUACACACGUGUUACAAUGGGGGGUACAGAAGGCAGCUACACGGCGACGUGAUGCUAAUCCCGAAAGCCUCUCUCAGUUCGGAUUGGAGUCUGCAACCCGACUCCAUGAAGCUGGAUUCGCUAGUAAUCGCGCAUCAGCCACGGCGCGGUGAAUACGUUCCCGGGCCUUGUACACACCGCCCGUCAAGCCAUGAAAGCCGGGGGUACCUGAAGUGCGUAACCGCAAGGAGCGCCCUAGGGCAAAACUGGUGAUUGGGGCUA
rnacentral:rRNA from 1 species